UACGUAGGGUGCAAGCGUUGUCCGGAAUUAUUGGGCGUAAAGAGCUCGUAGGCGGUCUGUUGCGUCGGCUGUGAAAACCCGGGGCUCAACUCCGGGCCUGCAGCCGAUACGGGCAGACUAGAGUUCGGCAGGGGAGACUGGAAUUCCUGGUGUAGUGGUGAAAUACGUAGAGAUUGGGAAGAACACCAGUGGCGAAGGCGGCUAUCUGGACGGUUUCUGACGCUAAGACGCGAAAGCGUGGGGAGCAAACAGG
rnacentral:rRNA from 1 species